rnacentral:rRNA from 1 species
GGGCCCGCACAAGCGGUGGAGCAUGUGGUUUAAUUCGAUGAUACGCGAGGAACCUUACCAGGGCUUAAAUGUAGUGGGACAGGUCUAGAGAUAGACCCUUCUUCGGACUCAUUACAAGGUGCUGCAUGGUUGUCGUCAGCUCGUGCCGUGAGGUGUCAGGUUAAGUCCUAUAACGAGCGCAACCCCUAUCGUUAGUUGCCAGCGGGUAAUGCCGGGAACUCUAGCGAAACUGCCUGUGAUAAGCAGGAGGAAGGUGUGGAUGACGUCAAGUCCUCAUGGCCCUUACGGGUUGGGCUACACACGUGCUACAAUGGUAGUGACAAUGGGUUAAUCCCAAAAAGCUAUCUCAGUUCGGAUUGGGGUCUGCAACUCGACCCCAUGAAGUCGGAAUCGCUAGUAAUCG